GACGAACGCUGGCGGCGUGCUUAACACAUGCAAGUCGAGCGGUAAGGCCCUUUCGGGGGUACACGAGCGGCGAACGGGUGAGUAACACGUGGGUGACCUGCCCUCAGCUCUGGGAUAAGCCUGGGAAACUGGGUCUAAUACUGGAUAUGACUCCACGGUGCAUGUCGUGGGGUGGAAAGCCUUGUGCGGCUGAGGAUGGGCCCGCGGCCUAUCAGCUUGUUGGUGGGGUGAUGGCCUACCAAGGCGACGACGGGUAGCCGGCC
rnacentral:rRNA from 1 species